AGUAAAAAGAUCCUACUAAUUAAAUUGCAUAAUUCUGGCUUGAAAAGUAAUUAGAAAUAACCUUUGUCUGUUUCAGGAACUUUUUUUUCCUUGAUAUUAUAUUUCUAAAAUUAAGGGUAAAGUCUUUCCGGUGUACUGUUUCAUAGCACAGUGACAUGUAACCUGCAGUAAGUUAUUGCACCACUAACAUAUGUUAUAGUCAAAUUGUAACCCAUCACAAUUAUAUGUAGUUCAAUCAUAUAUAUUUAUUUCAGGUAAAAUUUAUUUGGUCCUGUUGAUGUCAUUAGCAAAGUCCUCCCAUUACACUGUACCGGUGAUCAACACUGCCAUGUAAAGAUUUCCGUCAUUGAUUUAGGUAAAUGUUGUAACAAUAUGUUAUAUACUUCAAUGAAUAAGCCUAAAUAGAAUUGAUAGAUCUCUGCAAUCUAUGUCAUAUCUAAAUUUGUGCUGUUACUCAUGUACAUGUUUCCUGAUAUAUGAAAAAUCACCAAAUAUCAAUGAAAAAGCUCAAACCCUUCAAGUAAAUGUAAAUGUCAUAUUCCCAACUUGGUAAGGUAUUAUAAAAUCAUAAGCCUUUUUCUGAAUUUAGUAAUUUUUAUUUUCUAACCUCUACAAAUGGUGCCAUUUUUUUUAUAAAAGUAUCAAAAUUAGCAUCAAUCACAAACUUAUUGACUCUGCAACAUUUCCCUUUGUUUAUGUACCCCUCUUGUGCUUGGAUCAGGGGUAAGGUUACACAAGGAGUCGAAUGCUUUUUAUAUUAUGUCUACAAUCAAACAAGUAUGAGGAAGAGUAUGCAGUUCAAACAUUUUUUUUUAACCUCAAUCAAAUAUUUGUUUCAAAUUAGAUUAAUUAAAUCAUGUUGGUGCCAUAAGAAAAUCCUACUUUCAUGUCCUACCAUACUAUACCAUACACCUUAUCGCUAUGUGUCCGCCAGUA
rnacentral:lncRNA from 1 species